AUUUAACGCUAGCGGGAUGCCUUACACAUGCAAGUCGAACGGAGUGGCGAACGGGUGAGUAAUGUAUCGGAACGUGCCCAGUAGCGGUGGAUAACUACGCGAAAGCGUAGCUAAUACCUCAUACUAUUGGACCGGUCGAUAUCGGAUUCGCUAGUUGGUGGGUUAACGGCUCACCAAGGAGACGAUCCGUAGCUGGCUUGAGAGGACGACCAGCAAAACUGGUAAUGGGACACGGCCAAGAAUCCGACGGAAGGAAGCAGGGGGGAAUUUUGGACAAGGGGGGAAACCCUGAUCAAGCAAUCCGGCGUGUGCGAGGAAGGCCGUAGGGUUGUAAAGCACUUUUGGCAGGAAAGCGGUACCUGCAGAAUAAGCACCGGCGAACUACGUGCCAGCAGCCGCGGUAAUUC
rnacentral:rRNA from 1 species